rnacentral:lncRNA from 10 species
CAAAUAUAUUUUUAUUUUUAUUUAUUAUUUAUUUAUUUAUUUAUUUUUUGAGAUGGAGUUUCGCUCUUGUUGCCCAGGCUGGAGUGCAAUGGUGAGAUCUCUGCUCACUGCAACCUCCACCUCCCAGGUUCAAGGGAUUCUUGUGCCUCAGCCUCCUGAGUAGCUGAGAUUACAGGCACCCACCACCACGUCCGGCUAAGUUGUUGUUUUUUGUUUUUGUUCUUGUUUUUUUGAGAGAUGGAGUCUUGAUCUGUCACCCAGGCUGGAGUGGAGUGGCGGUAUCUCGGCUCACUGCAACCUCCACCUCCCGGGUUUGAGCGAUUCUCCUGCCUCAGCUUCCCAAGUAGCUGGGACCACAGACGUUUGCCACCACUCCCAGUUAAUUUUUGUAUUUUUUUAGUAGAGUUGGGGUUUCACUAUAUGUUGGCCAGCCUGGUCUCAAACUCCUGACCUCAGGUGAUCUGCCCACCUCGGCCUCCCAAAGUGUUGGGAUUAUAGGCGUGAGCCACCGUGCCUGGCCAAUUUUUUGUAUUUUUUUGUAGAGACGGGGUUUCACCAUGUUGGCCAGGCUGGUCUUGAAUUCCUGGCCUCAGGUUAUCCGCCUGCCUGAGCCUCCCAAAGUGCUGGAUUACAGGCAUGACCCACCAAACCCAGCCCAAAUAUAUUUGCAUAUAUAUAUAUUUUAAUAUCCCACGCCUACACUCUGGGAUAACUCAGCUCUUACAGGCAGUAAUCAUGGGUCAGACCUGCCAUUAUCCAGUUCAGCCCAUUUCAUUUGACAGACACCUGGUGAAUAGAGACAUGCAGGGACUCUUGUCCACAUUUGCCCAGUUGGCUGAUAGCACAGUGUACAAAGUCUGUCUGCAGCAGGUCAUAAUUUCACAGCUCUGCCACAUGCAUGUAUAUCACUGUACCAAGCGUGUUCACAUGGUAUGGUGCUGACACAUGUUGACGGAAUGUGGUACAGACCCUCUGUGUGAAGUGUGUUCACACAGUGCGGUGCUGACCCUCUGUAUGAAGCGUGUUCACACGGUGCGGUGCUGACUCUCUGUAUGAAGCGUGUUCACCUGGUGCAGGACAGACUCUCUGCAUGAAGCAUGUUCACACAGUGCGGUGCUGACCCGACCCUCUGUAUGAAGCAUGUUCACACGGUGCAGUGCUGACUCUCUGUAUGACACAUGUUCACAGAGUGAGGUGCUGAUCUUCUGUAUGAAGCAUGUUCACAUGGUGCAGUACUGACUCUCUGUUUGAAGUGUGUUCACAUGGUGCAGUGCUGACCUGUAUGAAGGAUGUUCACGCGGUGCGGUGCUGACUCUCUGUAUAACACAUGUUCACGCAGUGAGGUGCUGAUCUUCUGUAUGAAGCAUGUUCACACAGUGCAGUGCUGACUCUCUGUAUGAAGUGUGUUCACACGGUGCAUUGCUGACCUUCUGUAUGAAGUGUGUUCACACAGUGAGGUGCUGAUCUUCUGUAUGAAGCAUGUUCACACGGUGCAGUACUGACUCUCUGUAUGAAGUGUGUUCACACGGUGCGGUGCUGACUCUCUGUAUGAAGCGUGUUCACACAGUGCGGUGCUGACUCUCUGUAUGAAGCAUGUUCACACGGUGCGGUGCUGACUCUCUGUAUGAAGUGUGUUCACCUGGUGCAGUACAGGCUCUCUGCAUGAAGCAUGUUCACACAGUGCGGUGCUGACCCUCUGUAUGAAGCGUGUUCACACAGUGCAUGUGAAACCAGAACCGACAGUCGAACCCAAGCAGAAGUCUUGACCAAGCACUUCCCUCCUGGGAAUGCACCAUGAUAUCACCACACCGAAGUCCAGGCUGGCAAAUAGGGACAUUUAAGUGACAUUUAAGCUCGUGGUGGCCCUAUGAGGAGUCAUUGCUGACUGAGAUGGGAUUUUAAGGUGUUGCCUGCCUGUGUGUUCUCAGACCCUCUCCUGAAGCCCCACCCCUUCCCCUGAUCCUCUCCUGGGACCCCCCUCCCCUAUCCCUGACCCUCUCCUGGAUCCCCUCCCCUUUCCCUGACCCUCUCCUGGAGCCCCCUCCCCUCUCCCUGU